rnacentral:rRNA from 1 species
AUACAGGGGGUGCGAGCGUUAAUCGGAAUUACUGGGCGUAAAGAGUACGUAGGCGGUUGCUUAAGUCAGAUGUGAAAGCCCCGGGCUCAACCUGGGAACUGCAUUUGAAACUGAGUGACUAGAGUUUAAGAGAGGGGAGUAGAAUUCCGGGUGUGGCGGUGAAAUGCGUAGAGAUCCGGAGGAAUACCAGUGGCGAAGGCGGCUCCCUGGCUUAAAACUGACGCUGAGGUACGAAAGCGUGGGUAGCAAACAGGAUUAGAAACCCUAGUAGUCC